rnacentral:rRNA from 1 species
GACGAACGCUGGCGGCGUGCUUAACACAUGCAAGUCGAACGAUGAUGCUGGAGCUUGCUCCAGUUGAUUAGUGGCGAACGGGUGAGUAACACGUGAGCAAUCUGCCCUUGACUCUGGGAUAACUGCGGGAAACUGUAGCUAAUACCGGAUACUUUCACCGGGGGGCAUCCUCUGGUGAUGAAAGAAUUUCGGUCAAGGAUGAGCUCGCGGCCUAUCAGCUUGUUGGUGAGGUAACGGCUCACCAAGGCGACGACGGGUAACCGGCCUGAGAGGGUGACCGGUCACACGGGGACGGAGACACGGCCCAGACUCCUACGGGAGGCAGCAGUGGGGAAUAUUGCACACUGGGCGCAAGCCUGAUGCAGCAACGCCGCGUGAGGGAUGACGGCCUUCGGGUUGUAAACCUCUUUUAGCAGGGAAGAAGCGAAAGUGACGGUACCUGCAGAAAAAGCACCGGCUAACUACGUGCCAGCAGCCGCGGUAA